GCCUGGGUGGCUCAGUCGGUUGAGCUCCUGACUUCGGCUCAGGUCAAUGAUCUCACAGUUCGUGGGUUCGAGCCCCACGUUGGGCU
rfam:Felis catus isolate Cinnamon breed Abyssinian chromosome C2, whole genome shotgun sequence.